UACGGAGGAUGCAAGCGUUAUCCGGAAUUAUUGGGCGUAAAGGGCUCGUAGGCGGUUUGUCGCGUCGGGAGUGAAAACACUGGGCUUAACCCAGUGCUUGCUUUCGAUACGGGCAGACUAGAGGUAUGCAGGGGAGAACGGAAUUCCUGGUGUAGCGGUGAAAUGCGCAGAUAUCAGGAGGAACACCGGUGGCGAAGGCGGUUCUCUGGGCAUGAUCUGACGCUGAGGAGCGAAAGUGUGGGGAGCGAACAGG
rnacentral:rRNA from 1 species